GUGGGGAAUAUUGGACAAUGGGCGAAAGCCUGAUCCAGCCAUGCCGCGUGUGUGAAGAAGGUCUUCGGAUUGUAAAGCACUUUAAGUUGGGAGGAAGGGUAGUAACCUAAUACGUUGCUACUUUGACGUUACCGACAGAAUAAGCACCGGCUAACUUCGUGCCAGCAGCCGCGGUAAUACGAAGGGUGCAAGCGUUAAUCGGAAUUACUGGGCGUAAAGCGCGCGUAGGUGGUUCAGUAAGUUGGAAGUGAAAUCCCCGGGCUCAACCUGGGAACUGCAUUCAAAACUGCUGAGCUAGAGUACGGUAGAGGGUGGUGGAAUUUCCUGUGUAGCGGUGAAAUGCGUAGAUAUAGGAAGGAACACCAGUGGCGAAGGCGACCACCUGGACUGAUACUGACACUGAGGUGCGAAAGCGUGGGGAGCAAACAGGAUUAGAAACCCUUGUAGUCC
rnacentral:rRNA from 1 species